GGACUGAGCAUGCACCCCUGAGGGGCCCCCGUGUUGAGGAUCAGUGUGGCGGAUGUGUUGUUACCUACCCUUACUACGUGUGGGCGGCCCGUUAGGGAGUCCAGGGUCCAGUUGCAGAGGGAGUUGUUUAGUCCCAGGGUCCUUAGCUUAGUGAUGAGCUUUGACGGCACUAUGGUGUUGAAUGCUGAGCUGUAGUCAAUGAAUAGCAUUCUCAAAUAGGUGUUCCUUUAGUCCAGGUGUGAAAGGGCCUUGUGGAGUGCAAUAGAGAUGGCAUCAUCUGUGGAUCUGUUGGUGUGGUAUGCAAAUUAGAGUGGGUCUAGGGUUUCUGGGAUAAUGGUGUUGAUGUGAGCCAUGACCAGUCUUUAAAAGAAUGUCAUGGCUACAGACGUAAGUGCUACGCGUUGGUAGUCAUUUAGGCAGGUUACCUUGGUGUUUUUUGGGCACAGGGGCUAUGGUGGUCUGCUUGAAACAUGCAGGCAUUACAGACUCAGACAGGGAGAGCUUGAAAAUAUCAGUGAAGACACUUGCCAGUUGGUCAGCGCAUGCACGGAGUACACGUCCUGGUAAUCCGUCUGGCCCUGCGGCCUUGUGAAUGUUGACCUGUUUAAAGGUCUUACUCACAUCAGAUGUGGAGAGCGGGAUCACACAGUCUUCCGGAACAGCUGAUGCUCUAUUGCAUGUUUCAGUGUUACUUGCCUCGAAGCAAGCAUAGAAGUGAUUUAGCUCAUCUGGUAGCCUCGUGUCACUGGGCAGCUCACGGCUGUGCUUCCCUUUGUAGUCUAUAAUAGUCUGCAAGCCCAGCCACAUCCGACGAGUGUCGGAGCCGGUGUAGUAUGAUUCAAUCUUAGUCCUGUAUUGACGCUUUGCCUGUUUGAUGGUUCGUCGGAGGGCAUAGCGGGAUUUCUUAUAAGCUUCCGUGUUAGAGUCCCGCUCCUUGAAAGCGGCAGCUCUACCCUUUAGCUCAGUGUGAAUGUUACCUGUAAUCCAUGGUUUCUGGUUGGAGUAUGUACGUACAGUCACUGUAGGGACGACAUCCUCGAUACACUUAUUGAUAAAGCCAGUGACUGAUGUGGGGUACACCUGAAUGCCAUUGGAAGAAUCCCGGAACAUAUUCCAGUCUGUACUAGCAAAACAGUUCUGUAGUUUAGCAUCUGCUUCAUCUGACCACUUUUUUAUAGUCAGAGUCACUGGUGCUUCCUGCUUAAAUGUUUUGCUUGUAAGCAGGAAUCAGGAGGAUAGAAUUAUGGUCAGAAUUGCCAAAUGGAGGGCGAGGGAGAGCUUUGUACGCAUCUCUGUCUGUGGAGUAAAGGUGGUCUAGAAUUUUUUUAUCCCUCUGGUUGCACAUUUAACAUGCUGAUAAAAAUGAGUUUCCCUGCAUUAAAGUCCCCGGCCACUAGGAGCGCCGUUUCUGGAUGAGCGUUUUCCUGUUUGCUUAUGGCAGUAGCUCAUUGAGUACGGUUUUAAUGCCAGCAUCGGUCUGUGGUGGUAUGUAGACAGCUAUGAAAAAUACAGAUGAAAACUCUCUAGGUAGAUAGUGUGGUCUACAGCUUAUUAUGAGAUACUCUACCUCAGGCGAGCAAAACCUCGAGAACUCCUUAGAUAUUGUGCACCAGCUGUUGUUUACCUAUAUGCAUAGGCCCCCGCCCCGUGUCUUACCCGAGGCUGCUGUUCUAUCCUGCCGAUAGAGUGUCAGGGUGGGGGGUACUGUCACAACGUCCACAGAAGGUGGUGCCUCUCCUCGGUCGGGCGGUGCUCGGCAGUCGUCGUCGCCGGCCUACUAGCUGCCACCGAUCCAUGUUUCUGUGUCUUUUGGUUAUGUCUGUUUAGUUCUGCACCUGUUCCUUGUUAGUCAUUAGUGGGGGGUAUUUAGUUUGUCUGUUUAGUUUGGGGAUUCGUGCAGGAUUGUUACUUGUCAUGUUUAUUUGUGGUAGUCAAGAUUUUCUUGUGUUCUUCUACGCCGCGUAUUUUUGUUAGGCAUUAGGGUUGACGGGCUGCGCCACGUCUGUGUGGAUUUUGGAGCUGUCCUCCUGUGUAUUUUGAUUGUGCCAGCUGUAUGCUCUUAAUGUCGUCGUUCAGCCACGACUCGGUGAAACAUAAGAUAUUACAGUUUUUAAUGUCUCAUUGGUAGGACAUUCUUGCUUUCAGUUCGUCACAUUUAUUUUCCAGCGAUUGAAUGUUAGCUAGUAGGACGGAAGGCAAAGGUAGAUUUGCCACUCGUCGCCUGAUCCUCACAAGGCACCCUGAUCUCUUUCUGCGACAUCUCAAUGUCCUUCUCCAGCGAAUGAUGGGGAUCUGGGCCUGGUCAGGUGUCUGUAGUAUAUCCCUCCCGUCCGACUUAAUGAAGAAAAACUCUUUGUCCAAUUUGAGGACCUGAGCCCUAGGACCAUGCCUCAGGACUACCUGGUAUGAUGACUCCUUGCUGUCCCCAGUCCACCUGGCCGUGCUGCUGCUCCAGUUUCAACUGUUCUGCCUGCGGCUAUGGAACCCUGACCUGUUCACCGGACGUGCUUGUUGCACCCUCGACAACUACUAUGAUUAU
rnacentral:lncRNA from 1 species